CCUAUAAAUCUACUUUUAUUCAUAGAUUUUAACUGAUAUAACGUUAAAUGCCAUCAAAGAGGAGUAGUGUUUUGUAUUUUUGUAGGUUUUCUCUUUCAAUUUAAUAAAUAAAUGCUCUGUUUGGUUAAUUAGCUCAAAAUCAGUCUCAGAGGUGGUCUAAGGUAACGGUAACUGUUAAAAUCGAAUAUAACCUUACCUGUUUUAAAUUAUUUGAAAUUUAUCACUAUAAACUAUACAGUAUUAACUUUCUAAUAAUUAAAUUUUUAACCGUAGUAACGUUAAUUAGUUUGUUUGAAUACCUGCUGCUCGAGCUUGAUGAUGCUCAUGCUAUCCAUGCUGUGAACUUGAAUAUAAACCGAUAUAACGUUAAAUAUAAAGUUUAACGUUAAUUAGACCGAGGCUGCCGAAAUCAUGUUCAGUGUAACGUUAUGUGGGAUUAAUAAUUUCCCCUUUUCUCCCUCAAGUGGCAGGCUUGUAAAUUCUGUCAUCUGUUCAUUAUUGGUGUUGAUGGUGUUUUUCACAUGCAUGCUUUUUAAUGCUAGUUUAAUUCUCAAAUUGAUCUGAUACUUUCGUUCCACAAAAAGUAAACAAAUUGUUCACUUUCUUAGGGCCUGACAACCACCAGUUGAGUCCAUGAUUCAGGGAAGAGACAGUCUGGGCAGCAGCAACAAGACAACUAUUACAAGUAGAGAUGGGUUUCAAGAACUGGUACUAAUUUGGUUCCUGACUUGUUCGACACAACCACAUAUCCUCCAAAUCAUCUCUGCGUGGAUGGCAGCAAGGAUCCAGGAUCAAGAGAUCAUUCUUCAUGGAAGCAGUUUCUCCUGGGUGAAAAACUAAACCUGGUUGUUUCAGCAUCACUCAGGCAAG